AUGGUGAUUGCAAGCAAUGGUGUCCAUCAGGACUUAAUAGGGAAUCCGGUGCGAAUCCGGAACUGCCCCCGCAACUGUAUGUGCGGACGAAAUGGGAUGGCCACUGGCGGUGAAAGCUUGCACGGCACGCCGCUGGGAAGGACCCAAAGUAGGACGAUGCACGAGUCAGGAGACCUGCCUUGCUUGGAAGUUUCAUG
rnacentral:ncRNA from 23 species